GUGCUCACUUCAGCAGCACAUACACUAAAAUUAGAAUGAUACAGAGAAGAUUAGCAAGGGCCCUGCCCAAGGAUGACACAGAUUCAUGAAGAGUUCCAUAUAUUUUU